AUUGAACGCUGGCGGCAUGCCUAACACAUGCAAGUCGAACGGCAGCACAGCAGUAGCAAUACUGUGGGUGGCGAGUGGCGGACGGGUGAGGAAUACGUCGGAAUCUGCCCAGUCGUGGGGGAUAACUAGCCGAAAGGUUAGCUAAUACCGCAUACGACCGAGAGGUGAAAGCGGGGGACCGCAAGGCCUCGCGCGAUUGGAUGAGCCGACGUCGGAUUAGCUAGUUGGCGGGUAAAGGCCCACCAAGGCGACGAUCCGUAGCUGGUCUGAGAGGAUGAUCAGCCACACUGGAACUGAGACACGGUCCAGACUCCUACGGGAGGCAGCAGUGGGGAAUAUUGGACAAUGGGCGCAAGCCUGAUCCAGCAAUGCCGCGUGUGUGAAGAAGGCCUUCGGG
rnacentral:rRNA from 1 species